CUACUGGGUGCAGCAGUAGGGAAUAUUGGACAAUGGGCGAAAGCCUGAUCCAGCAACACCGCGUGCACGAUGACGGCCUUCGGGUUGUAAAGUGCUUUUAGAGGAGAUGAGAAAGGACGGUAUCCUCUGAAUAAGCCUCGGCGAACUACGUGCCAGCAGCCGCGGUAAAACGUAGGAGGCAAGCGUUAUCCGGAUUUAUUGGGCGUAAAGCGCGUGCAGGCGGUCUAACAAGUUGGAUGUGAAAGCUCCCGGCUCAACUGGGAGAGGUCGUUCAAUACUGUUAGACUAGAGAAUAGGAGAGGGAGGUGGAAUUCCGGGUGUAGUGGUGAAAUGCGUAGAUAUCCGGAGGAACACCAGUGGCGAAAGCGGCCUCCUGGACUAUUUCUGACGCUAAGACGCGAAAGCUAGGGUAGCAAACGGGAUUAGAUACCCUGGUAGUC
rnacentral:rRNA from 1 species